rnacentral:rRNA from 1 species
UACAGAGGGGGGCAAGCGUUUAUUCGGAAUUAUUGGGCGUAAAGGGCGCGUAGGCGGCCUUGCAAGUGACGGGUGAAAUCCCUCGGCUUAACCGAGGAACUGCCUGUCAAACUGCGUGGCUUGAGACCAGGAGAGGUGAGUGGAAUUCCCAGUGUAGCGGUGAAAUGCGUAGAUAUUGGGAGGAACACCAGUGGCGAAGGCGGCUCACUGGACUGGUACUGACGCUGAUGCGCGAAAGCGUGGGGAGCAAACAGGG